GGCCGACUAGCUCAGUUGGUUAGAGCGUCGUGCUAAUACGGUUCGUUGAUAAGAGCGUGACCGGUCCUUUCACGCCCUUAUCGAGGGACUUCGAUACGCGAAGGUCUUGGGUUCGAUCCCCACGUUGGCCA